UUAGCUCAGUUGGUAGAGCAGUUGACUUUUAAUCAAUUGGUCGCAGGUUCGAAUCCUGAA
rnacentral:tRNA from 1 species